AUGUCAGACUCCGGUGGACAGAUCAGCAUCUCACAGUCUCCGGCCACUUUCUCUCUGAUGGUGAACGAGAGUGUGACCAUGCGGUGCAGUGCAUCUAAGGAUAUUAAUGAUGAUAUGGCCCUCUACCUGAUCCGGCCUGGAGCUGCCCCCAGACUCCUUAUGUAUGAGCUGCACACGGUGCGCAAGUUCUCUCAGGCUCGUUACAGUGGUUCCUGGAAAAGCGGCUCCAAGGACUUUACAUUCUCCAUCAGGAAUGUUCAGUUUGAAGAUGAAGGGAUGUACUUCUGUGGACAGUACAACCAGUCGCCGACACAGUGA